UACGAAGGGUGCAAGCGUUACUCGGAAUUACUGGGCGUAAAGCGUGCGUAGGUGGUUCGUUAAGUUGGAUGUGAAAUCCCCGGGCUCAACCUGGGAACUGCAUCCAAAACUGGCGAGCUAGAGUAUGGUAGAGGGUGGUGGAAUUUCCUGUGUAGCGGUGAAAUGCGUAGAUAUAGGAAGGAACACCAGUGGCGAAGGCGACCACCUGGACUGAUACUGACACUGAGGUGCGAAAGCGUGGGGAGCAAACAGG
rnacentral:rRNA from 1 species